rnacentral:rRNA from 1 species
GACGAACGCUGGCGGCGUGCCUAAUACAUGCAAGUCGAGCGGACCACUUCGGUGGUCAGCGGCGGACGGGUGAGUAACACGUGGGCAACCUGCCUGUAAGACUGGGAUAACACCGGGAAACCGGUGCUAAUACCGGAUAAUCCUUUCCUUCACAUGAAGGAAAGCUGAAAGACGGUUUCGGCUGUCACUUACAGAUGGGCCCGCGGCGCAUUAGCUAGUUGGUGAGGUAACGGCUCACCAAGGCAACGAUGCGUAGCCGACCUGAGAGGGUGAUCGGCCACACUGGGACUGAGACACGGCCCAGACUCCUACGGGAGGCAGCAGUAGGGAAUCUUCCGCAAUGGACGAAAGUCUGACGGAGCAACGCCGCGUGAGCGAUGAAGGCCUUCGGGUCGUAAAGCUCUGUUGUCAGGGAAGAACAAGUACCGGAGUAACUGCCGGUACCUUGACGGUACCUGACCAGAAAGCCACGGCUAACUACGUGCCAGCCGCCGCAGUAACAC